GAUGAACGCUGGCGGCGUGCCUAAUACAUGCAAGUCGAGCGGACAGACGCGGAGCUUGCUCCUCUGACGUUAGCGGCGGACGGGUGAGUAACACGUGGAAAACCUACCUAAAAGACUGGGAUAACUACGGGAAACCGGAGCUAAUACCGGAGAAUAUAUUGAACCGCAUGGGGCAAUAGAGAGAGACGGUGUUGGGGUCGGUUAUGGAUGGAUACCAGCUGCAUCAGCUGGUUGGUAGGGUAGCGGCUUACCAAGGCUAGGACGCGUAGCCGGCCUGAGAGGGUGACCGGCCACAUUGGGACUGAGAUACGGCCCAGACUCCUACGGGAGGCAGCAGUGGGGAAUAUUGCACGAUGGGCGGAAGCCUGAUGCAGCAACGCCGCGUGCGGGAUGACGGCCUUCGGGUUGUAAACCGCUUUCGCCUGUGACGAAGCGUGAGUGACGGUAAUGGGUAAAGAAGCACCGGCUAACUACGUG
rnacentral:rRNA from 1 species